GACGAACGCUGGCGGCGUGCCUAACACAUGCAAGUCGAACGGGGUGUCGGGAGCUUGCUUCUGACACUUAGUGGCGAACGGGUGAGUAACGCGUGAGGAACCUGCCUUUCAGUGGGGGACAACAGUUGGAAACGACUGCUAAUACCGCAUGACACAUUCGGAUGGCAUCACCUGAAUGUCAAAGAUUUUAUCGCUGAAAGAUGGCCUCGCGUCUGAUUAGCUAGUUGGUGGGGUAACGGCCCACCAAGGCGACGAUCAGUAGCCGGACUGAGAGGUUGAACGGCCACAUUGGGACUGAGACACGGCCCAGACUCCUACGGGAGGCAGCAGUGGGGGAUAUUGCACAAUGGAGGAAACUCUGAUGCAGCAACGCCGCGUGAGGGAAGAAGGGUCUUCGGGAUUGUAAACCUUUGUACUUUGGUGACGAACAAUGACGGUAGCCAAGGA
rnacentral:rRNA from 1 species